rnacentral:rRNA from 1 species
UACGUAGGGCGCAAGCGUUAUCCGGAAUUAUUGGGCGUAAAGAGCUCGUAGGCGGUUUGUCGCGUCUGCCGUGAAAGUCCGGGGGCUCAACUCCGGAUCUGCGGUGGGUACGGGCAGACUAGAGUGAUGUAGGGGGAGACUGGAAUUCCUGGUGUAGCGGUGAAAAUGCGCAGAUAUCAGGAGGAACACCGAUGGCGAAGGCAGGUCUCUGGGCAUUAACUGACGCUGAGGAGCGAAAAGCAUGGGGGAGCGAACAGG